rnacentral:rRNA from 1 species
UACGAAAGGGGCUAGCGUUGUUCGGAAUUACUGGGCGUAAAGCGCACGUAGGCGGCUUGGUAAGUUGGGGGUGAAAUCCCAGGGCUCAACCCUGGAACUGCCUCCAAAACUGCUAGGCUAGAGGAUGCGAGAGGUUGGCGGAAUUCCGAGUGUAGAGGUGAAAUUCGUAGAUAUUCGGAAGAACACCAGUGGCGAAGGCGGCCAACUGGCGCAUUUCUGAAGCUGAGGUGCCAAAGCGUGGGGAGCACACAGG